rnacentral:rRNA from 1 species
UACAGAGGGUGCAAGCGUUGUUCGGAAUUAUUGGGCGUAAAGCGCGUGUAGGCGGCGUGACAAGUCGGGUGUGAAAGCCCUCAGCUCAACUGAGGAAGUGCGCCCGAAACUGUCGUGCUUGAGUGCCGGAGAGGGUGGCGGAAUUCCCCAAGUAGAGGUGAAAUUCGUAGAUAUGGGGAGGAACACCGGUGGCGAAGGCGGCCACCUGGACGGUAACUGACGCUGAUGCACGAAAGCUAGGGGAGCAAACAGG